GAUCGGACGAGAUUACCCGCUGAAUUUAA
rnacentral:rRNA from 1 species